GGGGAUGUAGCUCAAAUGGUAGAGUGCUCGCUUAGCAUGCGAGACGUACGCGGUUCGAUACCCCGCAUCUCCA
rfam:Nelumbo nucifera unplaced genomic scaffold scaffold00043, whole genome shotgun sequence